AUGACAGCUUUGGUCAAAGGAUGGUGGAAUGGUAACCUACAGAUUCGUCACGGCUCUUCCAAAGCCCUUGCCUCCUUGAUGAUGCUCAUCUCCUGGGAGGUUUGGUCCGAGAAAAACGCUAGAGUCUUGUGCAACGUGGCGGUCCCUUCGAUGGUCAUCAUUAAGAAAAUCAAACAAGAGGUGUCGCUUUGGGCUUUGGCGGGUGCCAAGCACUUGGGUGUUGUAAUGCCGCAAGAGUAG
rnacentral:rRNA from 1 species